rnacentral:rRNA from 1 species
CCCUACGGGAGGCAGCAGUGGGGAAUAUUGGACAAUGGGCGAAAGCCUGAUCCAGCAAUGCCGCGUGAGUGAUGAAGGCCUUAGGGUUGUAAAGCUCUUUUACCAGGGAUGAUAAUGACAGUACCUGGAGAAUAAGCUCCGGCUAACUCCGUGCCAGCAGCCGCGGUAAUACGGAGGGAGCUAGCGUUGUUCGGAAUUACUGGGCGUAAAGAGAGCGUAGGCGGUUUUUUAAGUCAGAGGUGAAAGCCCAGUGAUCAACACUGGAACUGCCUUUGAAACUGGAAAACUUGAUUCUUGGAGAGGUCAGUGGAAUUCCGAGUGUAGAGGUGAAAUUCGUAGAUAUUCGGAAGAACACCAGUGGCGAAGGCGACUGACUGGACAAGUAUUGACGCUGAGGUGCGAAAGCGUGGGGAGCAAACAGGAUUAGAUACCCCUGUAGUC